rnacentral:rRNA from 1 species
AUUGAACGCUGGCGGCAGGCCUAACACAUGCAAGUCGAGCGAGCGGCGGACCGGUGAGUAAUGUAUGGGGACUGCCCGUUCGAGGGGGAUAACUACUGGAAACGGUAGCUAAUACCGCAUACUUUUGGUUAACCCAUAUGGGAUGAGCUAGUAGGUGAGGUAUUGGCUCACCUAGGCGACGAUCCCUAGCUGGGAUUAGAGGAUGAUACGCCAAACUGGGACCGCGACACGGGCCAUACACCGACGGAGGCAGCAGUGGGGAAUAUGGCACAAUGGGCGCAAGCCUGAUGCAGCCAUGCCGCGUGUAUGAAGAAGGCCCUAGGGUUGUAAAGUACUUUCAGUCGGGAGGCGUUACCGACAGAAGAAGCACCGGCUAACUCCGUGCCAGCAGCCGCGGUAAUAC